ACUCCGGUGGCCUAGUGGUUAGUGUGUCCGCCUCGGAUGCGGAAGGUCAUAGGCUUGAACCCUGCCGAGUC